CCCCUAGAUGUUCUGGGCCGCACGCGCGCUACACUGAACAGUUCAACAAGUCUUAACCUUGGCCGAUAGGUCUGGGUAAUCUUUGAACGCUGUUCGUGAUUGGGAUAGACCUUUGCAAUUAUGUGUCUUCAACGAGGAAUUCCUAGUAAACGCAAGUCAUCAGCUUGCAUUGAUUACGUCCCUGCCCUUUGUACACACCGCCCGUCGCACCUACCGAUUGAAUGGUCCGGUGAAGCCUCCGGAUUGGCGCGCACCUCGGUGCCGCCGAGAAGUUGGCUAAACCUUACCAUUUAGAGGAAGGUGAAGUCGUAACA
rnacentral:rRNA from 1 species